rnacentral:rRNA from 1 species
AGGACAACGCUGGCGGCGUGCUUCAAACAUGCAAGUCGAACGGAGUUAAUUUUGAAGCUUGCUUUAGAAUUAACUUAGUGGCGGACUGGUGAGUAACGCGUGAGUAAUCUGCCUAUCACAGGGGGAUAACAGAGGGAAACUUCUGCUAAUACCGCAUAAGACCACAGGAUGGCAUCAUCAAGGGGUCAAAGGUUAGAUCUGGUGAUAGAUGAGCUUGCGUAUCAUUAGCUAGUUGGUGAGGGUAAAGGCCCACCAAGGCGACGAUGAUUAGCCGAUCUGAGAGGAUGACCGGCCACACUGGGACUGAGAUACGGCCCAGACUCCUACGGGAGGCAGCAGUGGGGAAUAUUGCACAAUGGGGGAAACCCUGAUGCAGCAACGCCGCGUGAAGGAUGAAGGUUUUCGGAUUGUAAACUUCUUUUAUUCGGGACGAAGAAAGUGACGGUACCGAAUGAAUAAGCCACGGCUAACUACGUGCCAGCAGCCGCGGUAA